ACCAGUGCAUCCUGUGUGCUCUUGAUUGUUCAAAGGUGUGGUUUUCCAAAGUAUUUCUGCUUAACCACAAACUAUAUUUCAUGCAAUAAUGAUAUUUUAGUUUUACCUUGCUGUAACUCUAUUAUUACACUCAUUACGAAUGAAGGGCACGGCAGGUCUCGUUACAGGUGUUUCUCCACUGCCACGGCACUCGCUGAUCAUCGCUAGGAAGAAGUUAUCAACCUCGAGCCCGUAUUAUCAAGCAGAGGAGGUGGUUUUCGGCAGGCCCUGCUAGCUGGGAGGCGCCAGAAGUUGCGCCCCCCGCACGCACCGUGCCACAAGUAGAGCUCCUGCCACUUCUGACUGCAGGUUGCGAGGGUCUGACAAGUUUCCUCCCUGCGCACCGAACUGGCAACCCAUCACGGAGCCCUCCUACUGCCAUGUAUCGCACUGAUGGUAAAAAUUCUUCUUUUUUUUUUUUUUUUAAAACCAACCUUUCUGGCCUUGUUCAGUAAUGUAGCUCUAAGCUUUGUCAUCCUUGUUUCCUGAACUACCUGUCUAAUCUCUUUCUAAUCCAACGUGCGUAUUUUCUGUCAUGAAAGGCUGCAAGCAGACCACUGACGUGAUACAAACAGGACCUGGAAGAAGAUGAGAAUAAGCACCUCUGAUUAGUUUUCAUGCCACUGAUUUUACUACUUUUACAAAUUUUGUUAACAGUUUGAGAUUUCUUUUCUUCCUGGAAGA